UACGUAGGGGGCAAGCGUUGUCCGGAUUUAUUGGGCGUAAAGAGCGUGUAGGCGGCUAUACAGGUCCGCUGUGAAAACUCGAGGCUCAACCUCGAGACGUCGGUGGAAACCGUAUGGCUAGAGUCCGGAAGAGGAAAGUGGAAUUCCUGGUGUAGCGGUGAAAUGCGCAGAUAUCAGGAAGAACACCAAUGGCGAAAGCAGCUUCUGGGACGGUACUGACGCUGAGACGCGAAAGCGUGGGGAGCGAACAGG
rnacentral:rRNA from 1 species